GACGAACGCUGGCGGCGUGCCUAAUACAUGCAAGUCGAACGCUUCUUUCCUCCCGAGUGCUUGCACUCAAUUGGAAAGAGGAGUGGCGGACGGGUGAGUAACACGUGGGUAACCUACCCAUCAGAGGGGGAUAACACUUGGAAACAGGUGCUAAUGCCGCAUAACAGUUUAUGCCGCAUGGCAUAAGAGUGAAAGGCGCUUUCGGGUGUCGCUGAUGGAUGGACCCGCGGUGCAUUAGCUAGUUGGUGAGGUAACGGCUCACCAAGGCCACGAUGCAUAGCCGACCUGAGAGGGUGAUCGGCCACACUGGGACUGAGACACGGCCCAGACUCCUACGGGAGGCAGCAGUAGGGAAUCUUCGGCAAUGGACGAAAGUCUGACCGAGCAACGCCGCGUGAGUGAAGAAGGUUUUCGGAUCGUAAGACUCUGUUGUUAGAGAAGAACAAGGACGUUAGUAACUGAACGUCCCCUGACGGUAUCUAACCAGAAAGCCACGGCUAACUACGUG
rnacentral:rRNA from 1 species